rnacentral:rRNA from 1 species
UACGAAGGGAGCUAGCGUUGUUCGGAAUCACUGGGCGUAAAGCGCACGUAGGCGGUUUUGUCAGUCAGGGGUGAAAUCCCGGGGCUCAACCUCGGAACUGCCUUUGAUACAGCAAGUCUUGAGUUCGAGAGAGGUGGGUGGAAUUCCUAGUGUAGAGGUGAAAUUCGUAGAUAUUAGGAAGAACACCGGUGGCGAAGGCGGCCCACUGGCUCGACACUGACGCUGAGGUGCGAAAGCGUGGGGAGCAAACAGG